rnacentral:piRNA from 1 species
UACUUGAAUCAGGAGGGUCAUUCCUAGG